UACGGAGGGUGCAAGCGUUAUCCGGAUUCACUGGGCUUAAAGGGUGCGUAGGUGGGUUGAUAAGUCAGUGGUGAAAUCCCCGAGCUUAACUUGGGAACUGCCAUUGAUACUAUUGAUCUUGAAUACCGUAGAGGUCAGCGGAAUAUGUCAUGUAGCGGUGAAAUGCUUAGAUAUGACAUAGAACACCAAUUGCGAAGGCAGCUGGCUACGCGAAUAUUGACACUGAUGCACGAAAGCGUGGGGAUCAAACAGG
rnacentral:rRNA from 1 species